UACGUAGGGACCAAGCGUUGUCCGGAAUCAUUGGGCGUAAAGAGCGUGUAGGCGGCUUGUUAAGUCUUGCGUGAAAUCUCGGGGCUCAACCCCGAGCGGUCGUGAGAAACUGGCAGGCUAGAGUGCGGGAGAGGAGAGUGGAAUUCCUGGUGUAGCGGUGAAAUGCGCAGAUAUCAGGAGGAACACCGGUGGCGAAGGCGGAUCUCUGGGCCAUUACUGACGCUGAGGAGCGAAAGCGUGGGGAGCGAACAGG
rnacentral:rRNA from 1 species